ACUAAGGAAAGAAAGGCAGGCUGCCAUUUUUUGUGAGGGCACUCAGGCCGAGGCCAGGGCACGCGCCAUCUUUAUUGAGGGCAAAGGCAGGCCUGGGUCCGUUAAUUUAAGCGGGAGAUGGGAACCCAACCCUCAAAGUUCACCGGCCCUCGAAGUUCCUAACCCAGUAUGUGCUUCUCUAGAAUAAUGACCCCUAACCUUAGAGUCUGUGCCUCCAAAAGGCUUCCGCCUCGAGCUGAAACUCAGAUAAUCCCGGGCUGCGUCACUUGAGAAGAAGCCUACCUGCGGAAUCCCACCUCAAGCAGUCAUUUGCACACUUAGGUUGAAGCAAAUAAGCUCAUCCUUUUGAGCCAGUGGUCGGAAACAUUCCUCCAAUCUCUCACCAGGGAUCCCUUAUUCUUUUUAGGGCUCAAGCGCACCUGAGAUCAGUAAACUGAGGCCCAGAGAGAGGAAAUGACUCUCCCAAAGCCGUGCACGGUAAGCGUGUGGACAGCAGCCACACCCACGGCUCCUGCCAACUAGAUCGGGGCUCUCCACAACGCUGGCUGCCGUUCUUAAUGCACAGAUCAAUCGCUAAACACAGAUAAUUUUGACAGAGCUGGGUCAGUGAAGUCAACCUUUCUCUCCCCAUCUCAGCAUUGCUACCUUCCUCUGCAGGCGGUCAGAAGGAUCCUGGAUGAAAAUGACCUGAAAAGAUGGCAGAUGAAAAGCGCUUGAGGAAAGAAACGAGAGAGAGGACUCACACAUUUCGAGCGUCUGUCACAAGGCGUCACCUCGCUGACAUCCCGCGGCAGAGUCCUCUGGAACAGGUGCGACCGUCAUCACCGUUUUACCCACAGAUAAGAAGACUGAGACCAAAAGAGUAAAUUUCAGGUCUUCCUCAACAGAAGCUAAGAGUUCCCACUGCUUGAAGAGAAACGGCAGCCUAGCAAAGUCCAAGGUUCCCAGAGAUGUAAGCCCAAAUAUGUUGAUGCUUAAAUAAAAUUUAUACUGUUCGUAGUGCAGAAGACCAGGCUUGAUUUUAGACAAGCAACAGAAAUGUACAUUACCAAGUAACGUCUCUUAAGUAACUUCACAAAAAAGGAAAACGAGAGGAAAAACCCCACCGCAUACACUUACACCGUCUUACACAAGAAUAUCCCAAGGUACUUAAAGAUCUAUCAAAGUAAAUCUGUAUUCAUCAAAUAUGAAGUGCAGGAAUAUCUUAUUACUCAACAAGAAGGAACUAGUCGAUUUAAGUCUCGCUCGACUGUCAGAAAAUUAUAAAGGAAAUAAUGUGCUUUCCAAAGAGUUGCUAACAACAAUUUAUUAGCCAAUUUCCAAGGCUCUUAGAAAGUUAAUCAAAAUAUGUUUGUUCCUCAUUUCUCUACAUGGUUAGAUUAUUCGGCAUUCGGAAGAAUAAACAGUUACUUUUAAUGACAGUGUUUGCCGAACUCACCAACCUACAAGAAAAGGAUAUUAUCUUGGAAUACCUAAUCACUUCGUGAUAUCUCAUAAUCAUAACGUGGCCAGUGCUCUCAAAGUGGCUGCUAUUCCUGUAAGUGGACUUCCCCGUCAUAAUCCUGCUCUGCGCACUCAAAAGACCGAUUUAAGCAGUCAUCUUUCUCCCUGGAGACGGUGCUCCUUAGUUGCUGAUGUUAAAACAAACAAACAAAAAAUCCAUGAGUGGCUUUAUGGAUCCUGAUAAAGUGGAUGGCUAGUCUAGAUAGCAUGCUUCACUUUUCCUGGGUAGACUUUAAAACAAUGGGAAAGGAGCUGUUUUCUCUCUCUCUUUUUAAAUAUAGAAGGGAGUGGGAAAGUUUGGUUGCGAGACUGCACUAGGGGGUGCUUUCCAUGUUACUCAUGGCCCACCGCCAAUUUCUGCAUGUAUAAGAAUUAAAUCACUCAGCAAAUAGAAAGCUUUCCCUGUGUGUGACUUCUUUUACAGAAUAAAGCCUUUACAACACCCCCUUUCAUGGUCUCCCUCUGUUAGAGGCUGUUGAAUGCUUUUUGAAGCAAAGGUCAAUGAUAUAAAUGCAAUGAAAUCAAAGACAGGGGGAAAAAAAGUCCUGUUAACAGACCACUUAUGUGUAUCCAUAGAUUUGAAAUGAAAGGACCAAAGACUCAUAGCUUCAUGUCUGGCAAAUAAGGACACAGAACUAGAUUUCGAACAGAAGUCAGAAAUCUAUUCUACUGAGAUCAACUAACAAAGGAUUUAAGAUAGAAUUUGCUCAUCUGGUGUCGCUUUUACAGACAUGGGUUAGUUACUCGUUAAGUACUAAUAGAGUAUGGAGAAUUACAUCAGAAAGACGAAUACAGAAGUAUUUAUAAAGAAAGCACAAGCAUUGUGGAACUAUGCUGUACAACGUAUAACUAAGCAUAUUCUAUACAUUUCUUAAAUUAUCCCAAACAGAAUUCUCAGAUUUUCUUAUGGUUGUUAAGUACUUAGUUAUAAAAUUUAUCACAUUCGUAAGUGUGAACAACUAGUACAAGGCUUGAACACUGAAAAAUGAUCUCUUAAGGGGUGCUUGGCUGGCUCAGCCAGAAGAGCACGCCAUUCUUGAUCUUGGGGUCAUGACUUCUAGCUCCACGUUGGGUGUAGAUUACUUAAUUAAGUCAAACUUUAAAAAAUUAUCUAGAUGAGUAGAUGGAAAGUCUCCAGGAUUUCCAUUAUUUUAUAACACCAUUGACUAGCACGGGAAGGGUGGAACAUAAGAGGGGAAGU